rnacentral:rRNA from 1 species
CGUAACUAUAACGGUCCUAAGGUAGCGAAAUUCCUUGUCGGGUAAGUUCCGACCCGCACGAAAGGCGUAAUGAUUUGAGCGCUGUCUCGACAAUGCAUCCGGUGAAAUUGAAGUACCAGUGAAGAUGCUGGUUACCUGCGCCAGGACGGAAAGACCCCAUGGAGCUUUACUCCAGUUUGGUACUGGGAUCCGGUACUGCAUGUACAGGAUAGGUGGGAGGCUGUGAAAUAGUAACGCCAGUUAUUAUGGAGCCGCUGUUGGGAUACCACCCUUGCAGUAUUGGGUUUCUAACCAGCCGCCGUGACCCGGCGGUGGGACAAUGCCAGACGGGGAGUUUGACUGGGGCGGUCGCCCCCGAAAGGGUAUCGGAGGCGCCCAAAGGUUCCCUCAGAAUGGACGGAAACCAUUCGAAGAGUGCAAAGGCAGAAGGGAGCUUGACUGCGACACCGACGGGUGGAGCAGGUACGAAAGUAGGGCUUAGUGAUCCGGUGGUAUUAAGUGGGAAUGCCAUCGCUCAACGGAUAAAAGCUACCCUGGGGAUAACAGGCUUAUCACUCCCAAGAGUUCACAUCGACGGAGUGGUUUGGCACCUCGAUGUCGGCUCAUCGCAUCCUGGGGCUGUAGUAGGUCCCAAGGGUUGGGCUGUUCGCCCAUUAAAGCGGUACGCGAGCUGGGUUCAGAACGUCGUGAGACAGUUCGGUCCCUAUCCGGCGUGGGCGUAGGAUAUCUGAGAGGAGCUGUCCUUAGUACGAGAGGACCGGGAUGGACGGGCCGCUGGUGCACCGGUUAGACUGCCAAGUCUAUAGCCGGGUAGCCAAGCCCGGAAGGGAUAAACGCUGAAGGCAUCUAAGCGUGAAGCCCCCCUCAAGAUGAGAUAUCCCAUCCGAAAGGAGUAAACCCCCUUGAAGACGACGAGGUUGAUAGGGCAGGGGUGGAAGUACGGUAACGUAUGGAGCUGACUGCUACUAAUAGGGUGAGGGCUUGACCAA